UUGAUAUUUUUUCUUCUCUUCAAAGAUGAACAGCUAAUUUUCUGUUUCCUGUUUUCUUCUUGGUAUUGCUAGGUACUGCUCAAAAGGUCUUCCAAGGCAGCCAACUUUUGGGUAUAACUGGCUAAGUAGCAGGAGGUGCAGGGUGUCUUCUACGGGAAGAGGUCAAGAACUAAUAGACACAGCCGGGUCCAGAUGAGUUGGAAACAGAUGGAAACAGCCCACUGCAGACCAAAACUUCAACCAGUCUAAGGACCAUGUGGCACCACUUCUCAGACAUCAGUGAGAAAGAAACCAAAGGAAGAAGUGCAGGAGACACAUGGAAGGAGAUAUUGCUGGGAAUAGAGCUGGAGAUGUGCUCUUGGAAGACAUGUAGUACUACAAGAGAUCUGAGGGACUGUGGAGCCAUAAUACCCCUGUGGCCUUGCAGACUAAGGCAGAGCUGACUGCUGAAACCGUGGGAAUGGAGACUUCCUAGGGGAAAGAAAGGUGUUGAACUGAAGUUGAGGCUGGAGAGGAAAGCUGUUACCUUAGGUGACUGUAAGUUGUAUGUCUAUUUUUCCUCAGUGCCCAAUUCAGUAAUUAAAAGACUAUGUUAACUGGCGAUAAAUCAAAUAAAGUGAAAUUCACCAAGUCAAGAAUGUUUUGUCCAGGACAGUAAUGGAAGUGGAAUUGUAACCUGUAUAUAUUAAGUUCACUAUCUUCUUUUGCAUGUUGACUAAGCCAUAUUAAAUUUGCAAAACAUCUUUAGAUAUAUUUCUUCAUUGUGGUAUUCUCUAAACUGUUUGGACUGACAAUGGUUUCUGAAAGUACUUUUUCUUUUUGUCUCUGGUUCGUAAAAUGACCAUGUAAGAAUUUAUAGAAGAUAUAUGUAUACAAAUAGGUAUGGUUAGUGGAACAUUUGAACAUGCUUUGCUGAACUUGAGUGUCUUUCACAGUCUAAAGACCAGAACUAUAGCCUGUGUGCCUUGACUGCCUAAGUUCACUGGGAACACAGUGCUUGGACAGGCAAAUGCAAGUCAGGCAACUGAAGCAGAAAACAUUAUCCUGAGCUCUCAAUCCAGCCUGUCUUUAGGUUUCCUCUUUCAGAGGCUGAAUGGAUAGCUAACCUCCGUAUUAAUCACUGCUUCAAAUUUCUCUUUAGAUUCCUGGUAUUAAAAGAAACUGUAGAGGAUUUUUAGAUUACCUUAGCAGAGACAGGGAGUAGUGACAAUUAAGCUCGAUGAUAAAUUUACCAGCCAGCAGGUGUGUGGCUAACCAAUUGCUGCUGUAAAAGCAACAGGUUCAUGGGGAAGGAAAUGUGGUUUACAGAUUAGCUGAGAGUAGUAGAAGCUUUUCUUGUUACUUAAGCUAACUUGUGAGUUAUUCUUCAUUUCAGAAAAGGAUCUAAAACAAACACUAGAGUACAGAGAAAGGUGCCUACAGCUAGCCACUGGGAAAUGUAAUUAUGGCUUACUGAAUAUUUUCCAUCUGUUUUAGUUAUAAAGAAUGGUUUCAGAUAUCUGCUCUCCCAGAAAGUGCAUCUGUCAAACUACUGAGAGAAAUUAAAUGACAGAGGUAUCUAUGCUUUGAAGCAUUUUAAAGUAUAGCUUAGUAUAGUUUGCAAAUACCUCUUUUUCAAGGGGCUGUUGCUCAAUCCAUAAUUUAUAAAAAAUUCAAAGCUCACUGAUGAGGACUGGAGCAUGACUUUUUUAGGAUACUCACAUGAGAGAGAGGUCUUGACUUUGUUUUCUAUUCCUAGGAAUUUUUACGCAUCUCCCUGAUUUUAAAGUACAUAGAAGAUACCCAGAACAGAGAGGAGAUCAUAAAACUGUCUUAACUGAAGGGACCAGAACCAUUUCAUUUCCUUAGCUUAUAAAGUAUUUCAACCACUGAGUUGUUACAGUCUUGCAGGUAUAAAUGCUAGAUGCUGUGAUUAGUAGGGAACUUAAUGCUUUGAUGAGUGAUAGGCAGUUGCAUUGAGUUUUAGUUGCUGUGGGACCUCAACAGAAAAUCCUGUAUUAGUCUUGGACAUGUCUGUGUGCAUACUUUGUGCAGGCUUUGAAUACAGUAGACAUUCAAGAGUACCAAUAAAAUAAAAAUGAAAUAAUAAAUAAAAGAGUAAGAACAGUAUAGCUUCUUCAUCAUAAACAAUGACAAGAAUAUUUAUUCACUCCUUUUACUGCUCAGCCCAAGUUGCCACAUGGCCUCAGAAGACCUGACAGUAGCCUCUGAAAUACUCUCAAGGUUACUGCAAAGAACAUUUUCAUAUACUUUGAAAGAACAAGCUAGAGGGAUGAGGGAGCCCCUUUUUCACUGUUUGGAAAAUACAA